CACCCCUCCCCUCCGUUCCGCCGCCUCUCCUCCCCUCCCUUCUCCGAGCGCCGCGCUCCGGGCUUCGCCUGACAUCUAGCUGCUGCUGGGGCGCCGGCGGCUGCCGCUCACCGACCCAGCGGAGAGGGAAGAAGGAGCUCGCGGAGAGAGCAGUGUCGGGGACUCGGAAUCCUUGGCGGGGGCAAUGGAGCUAAGGUCUGCACUGUCUGCGAGGGGAAAGAGACUUAAAGAACUGGUCUGCAGGGAGAGCACGGGGAGAGGGACCUAAGAGAAGAAAAACCUCACCAGGAGAAGAGAAGAAAGUCAUUGAACUUCUUGAGCCUCUGCCCAGACAGUGCCUGCUGAGGGUUGCUGCCUUGCUGUCCACACCCACGUACCAGCCCCUCCUAAGUGCAGUAGCAGGAGAAGCCCGCAAUUAACCCUUGAUCCUAAUCUCCUAUUAAUCCUCAAAUCAGAGUAAGGGAGAAGCCCCGGAAACAAUGGGAGAGUGAGAACAAUCCCUCCGUGGCCCUGGACUCCCCCCCCCCCACCCACUCCAUGCCACAUUCACUCUAUGUGAAAAUCUCCCUUGCUUCAUAAACUCUGCCCAUUAAAAAGCCCAGCCCUUGUUAGUAAGUGUUAAAGAGAGAUUAAUGCCUGAAUUUAAGAGGUGGAGGAGGUAACAAAAAGGCGAGGCUGUGGGCUGAGAGCCAGCAUUGGGCUCCAAGCAUUUCCACUUAGUGCUGCAGGCAGGCUGCGCAGCGGUUUGAUAAGGUUUAUUGGGCCCAGAUAAAGUAGCAGCUUCCCCACCAAAACUGGCACCAUUGGUAGCCAGAGCCGUGUCCUUGGGUCCCCCGAAGGCUGAUGAGAAUCCCCAGUUCAGAGAGCUCAUAUGGGGGGGCACCUAAAAACAAGCAGGAUGGAAAAUUACAGGAGAAAACUCUCUCCCUCUCUGUCUCUCUCCCUCCCUCUCAUUCUGUCUCUGUCUCUCUCUCUCUGUCUGAUGUUCAUGUAUUGGUUGUGAUUUUCUUUCUUUCUUUUCUUUUUUUUUUUUUUUUUUUUUUACUUCUUUUCUUGAAGGGUAUGGUAAGGGAAGCUGGGACAUCAGCUGGGACAGGUCUAAAAAUAGAAGAGACCUCAGUCUUGUGGGGAGGUCAUGCUGGAGACAGGGGAAUAGAUGGAUUGACCUUUGAAUACAAUUCCAUGUUAAAUCUUGUCCUUCUCUCAUCUCCUUCUUUAUUCCCAUACCUCCCACAGGUAUGAGCCUUUCAGAGGUCAGUUUGUGGAAGAAGGGGAUAUAUUAGGUCUAAGGGAUCUUAUAGGGAGAAGACCGUGGGAAUAACUCGUUGUGAGCACCGACUAUGAAUCUUAACACAUUACCUAUAUUGUAUGAUGUAAUCCUAGUAACAACCCUAUUCGGGCAGGUGCCAUUAUUUGCCCCAUUUUUCAGAUGGGAAAACUGAGGCUUGAAGCAGUUAAGCAUUUCACCCAAGACUGUAGGGCUAGUGAACAUCAGAGCUGAGGCUUCAAAUCAGACCAUUCUGACUGCAAAGCUCUUGAUCUUAACUUCUAGAUUGUAUAAGCCUCUGGCAAGGUAGAAAAAGGAAAACAGCUUUUGAUUUUCCUUCUCUUAACUCCACUGAGGCCAAGAGCUACACAGCCACCAGGCAAGCUGACGGCCAAACCAUUUCCCGUUGAAUCAGACCACCUGGUAAACAGACUUAGCUCACUUUCCCUCCUUCCCCAAAAUCGCAGGCAAAAGUUGAGGAGGGAGUUUUGAAUUACAAUAAAGCUUCAACCGAACAGA